UGGGAAUGGAUUAAAAACCAGACAUGAAGG
rnacentral:piRNA from 1 species